rnacentral:rRNA from 1 species
GCCCCACUAGUCUGGGAUACCACUUGGAAACAAGGUGCUAAUACCGGAUAAGAAAGCGGAUCGCAUGAUCAGCUUUUAAAAGGCGGCGUAAGCUGUCGCUAUGGGAUGGCCCCGCGGUGCAUUAGCUAGUUGGUAAGGUAAAGGCUUACCAAGGCGAUGAUGCAUAGCCGAGUUGAGAGACUGAUCGGCCACAUUGGGACUGAGACACGGCCCAAACUCCUACGGGAGGCAGCAGUA